UAACGUGGUUGAUGGACCGAUUUC
rnacentral:siRNA from 1 species